rnacentral:rRNA from 1 species
UACAGAGGUCUCAAGCGUUGUUCGGAUUCAUUGGGUUUAAAGGGUGCGCAGGCGGGACAUUAAGUCAGGGGUGAAAGACGGUUGCUCAACAAUCGCAGUGCCUUUGAUACUGGUGUUCUUGGAUGACCUUGAGGUAGGCGGAAUGGGUGGUGUAGCGGUGAAAUGCAUAGAUACCACCCAGAACUCCGAUUGCGAAGGCAGCCUACUGGAGGUUUACCGACGCUCAGGCACGAAAGCGUGGGGAUCAAACAGG